UGUCGUCAGCUCGUGUCGUGAGAUGUUGGGUUACGUCCCGCAACGAGCGCAACCCUUAUCCUUAGUAGCCAGCAGGGAAAGCUGGGCACUCUAGGGAGACUGCCAGGGAUAACCUGGAGGAAGGUGGGGAUGACGUCAAAUCAUCAUGCCCCUUAUGAUUUGGGCUACACACGUGCUACAAUGGCGUAAACAAAGGGAAGCGAAGUGGCGACAUGGAGCGAACCCCAAAAAUAACGUCUCAGUUCGGAUUGCAGGCUGCAACCCGCCUGCAUGAAGCCGGAAUCGCUAGUAAUCGCAGAUCAGAAUGCUGCGGUGAAUACGUUCCCGGGUCUUGUACACACCGCCCGUCACACCAUGGGAGUCGAUAACGCCCGAAGUCAGUGACCCAACCGAAAGGAGGGAGCUGCCGAAGGCGGGAUGGAUAACUGGGGUGAAGUCGUAACAAGGUAGCCGUAUCGGAAGGUGCGGUUGGAUCACCUC
rnacentral:rRNA from 1 species